UCAGAUGAAACUAGUUCUCUGUUUGAGUUCUCAUGGGCUGUUCCGAAACUCUCUCCUGCAUUCUUCUUUGCUUCUUCAAUUUCCCUCUCAAAUUUCAUAGAAUGCUUCACAAGAAUUCUUCUAAGUUCUGGAAUAGACUCCACUGGAUUUAUAUUACUGCUCAAGGUUCCCAUUCCAUCAUUAACUUCAUUGGAACCGUCCCUUUCUCCUUCCUUGGGUACAUUCUUCUGGGCAUUCUUGGCUUCCAGCACCUCUUUUUCGAGUUUGGUCAUGUGCUUAACCAGAUACUUAUCUAGACUUGGGAACUCCUCCAACUCAGCUUGCUUCUUUCUUACAUUUCCAUCCAUGAAACUCUCUCCUGCAUUCUUCUUUGCUUCUUCAAUUUCCCUCUCAAACUUCAUAGAAUGCUUCACAAGAAUUCUUCCAAGUUCUGGAAUAGACUCCACUGGAUUUAUAUUACUGCUCAAGGUUCCCAUUCCAUCAUUAACUUCAUUGGAACCGUCCCUUUCUCCUUCCUUGGGUACAUUCUUCUGGGCAUUCUUGGCUUCCAGCACCUCUUUUUCGAGUUUGGUCAUGUGCUUAACCAGAUACUUAUCUAGACUUGGGAACUCCUCCAACUCAGCUUGCUUCUUUCUUACAUUUCCAUCCAUGAAACAUUCAAGCCUGCUCAAGGUUCCCAUUCCAUCAUUAAGUUCAUUGGAACCAUCCACUUCUCCUUCCUUAGGUGCGUUCUUCUGGGCAUUCCUGGCUUCCAGCACCUCUUUUUCGAGUUUGGUCAUGUGCCUAACCAGAUACUUAUCUAGAGUUGGAAACUCCUCCAACU
rnacentral:lncRNA from 1 species